UAAGUGCAUAGUAAAGAAUUGCAAGAACAAUGAAGAAAGUGAAGGGGUCAAUUACCAUAUGUGGAAAAAGAAAACAUAAUGUUGAAGAUAAAGAUUGUUUCUGCCCGCCGAACACCUACCGCUGGAUCGAGGAGGAUUAACCGAUUGGUUAGUAGAGUUUCGUCCGGCCGGGUUUCGACUUCAGAAACUCCAAUUAGCUAUAAUUCUGGCGGUGGUGUGGUAAUUUCCGAGUCGCAGCAAUUUGUUCUUUCCCGUGAAUUAAUCCAGCGUCAGCUUCAUUUCUUCUUUGCAUGCAAUCUCAAUUUCUGGGCGACGAAAUUUGGUCUGGUGCGAUGGUAAUUCUGGGCAGAACUUAUUAAUCUGCAUAAGAACUCUUUUUUUUUUUCCUUUAAUUCAUUUGCUAUUGCUGUUUCUAUUGGAUUUGCUUAUAUUGAGCAAUGUGUUUGUGGCGAGGUUUCU